rnacentral:rRNA from 1 species
UGAGUACGAGAUGCUACGGCAUCGAAGCAGUCUAUGUCAUACUUCCAAGAAAAGCUUGCACUGUCAUAAACAAAGAAUGCCUGUACCAUAACCGACACAGGUGGGUAGGUAGAGUAUACUAAGGGGCGCGAGAUAACUCUCUCUAAGGAACUCGGCAAAGUGACUCCGUAACUUCGGAGAAGGAGUGCCUUAUUUCUAAGGUUGCAAUAACAAGAUCCAAGCAACUGUUUACCAAAAACACAGGUCUCCGCUAAGUCGUAAGACGAUGUAUGGGGGCUGACGCCUGCCCAGUGCCAGAAGGUUAAAGAAGUUGGUUAGCAUUAGCGAAGCUGAUAACUGAAGCCCUGGUGAACGGCGGCCGUAACAAUAACGGUCCUAAGGUAGCGAAAUUCCUUGUCGGGUAAGUUCCGACCCGCACGAAAGGCGUAAUGAUUUGGAUACUGUCUCGGAGAGGGGCUCGGUGAAAUAGACUUGUCUGUGAAGAUGCGGACUACCUGCACCUGGACAGAAAGACCCUAUGAAGCUUUACUGUAACUUGAGAUUGAAAUUGGACUUUAUUUGCGCAGUAUAGGUGGGAGGCGUUGAGAAUAAUCUUGCGGGAUUGUUGGAGCCAUCAGUGAGAUACCACUCUUGUAAUGUUAGAUUUCUAACUUUGUAUCAUUAUCUGGUCAAAGAACAGUUUCAGGCGGGCAGUUUGACUGGGGCGGUCGCCUCCCAAAGGGUAACGGAGGCGCACAAAGGUUUCCUCUGAACGGGUAGAAAUCGUAUCUAGAGUGUAAAGGCAUAAGGAAGCUUGACUGUGAGACCUACAAGUCGAGCAGGGACGAAAGUCGGUCUUAGUGAUCUGACGGUGCUGAGUGGAAAGGCCGUCACUCAACGGAUAAAAGUUACUCUAGGAUAACAGGCUGAUCUCCCCCAAGAGUUCACAUCGACGGGGAGGUUUGGCACCUCGAUGUCGGCUCAUCGCAUCCUGGGGCGGUAGUCCGUCCCAAGGGUUGGGCUGUUCGCCCAUGAAAGCGGUACGCGAGCUGGGUUCAGAACGUCGUGAGACAGUUCGGUCCAUAUCCGGUGUAGGCGUUAGAAUAUUGAGAGGAGCCUUCUCUAGUACGAGAGGACCGAGAAGGACAUACCUCUGGUGUACCAGUUAUCGUGCCAACGGUAAACGCUGGGUAGCUAUGUAUGGAGUGGAUAACCGCUGAAAGCAUCUAAGUGGGAAGCCCACCUCAAGAUAAGUAAUCC